CAUGUUCCUUUAAAAAAUACAGCUGAACGAUGAAAGACAUGGGUAGUGAGACGUCGGAGCCUCGUCGUAUCACUAUUCUGUUUUUCGCCGAUCAGUCCCCUUACUACUGCUACCGUACC
rnacentral:precursor_RNA from 14 species